rnacentral:tRNA from 1 species
GCAUCCGUAGCUCAAUUGGAUAGAGCGUCGGUCUUCGGAACCGGGGGUUGGAGGUUCGAAUCCUCCCGGGUGUA